rnacentral:lncRNA from 13 species
AUGAUCCUGUCCCAGCCUCUUUUCCACCACCCUGUUGCUGCUACCCAAGUCCCUAACCGACUUGGGACUGUCCUUUCCAGUCAGGCGGCCAGCACUCACCAGGCAGCAGCCUUGAAUCCUGGUAGUGAUGAUGAUCAGAUGUUAUCAGAGCACCCUGGAACUGCUCCUGCUCAGCAGGAUGCUGGUGCGAGAGCUGCUGUGGCCCCCGAAGCUGGCAGGGCCCUGGCUACAGCUCUCUCUGGGAAGACCCAGUCCCAGGUUAUGCCUGGAGCUUCUACCCAGAAAGGAGAAGCUACGGGACCCUGUGGGCUGGCUUAUGUGACACCAGGCAGACUGAAGCUGGCCAUGGUCCCUGCUGCCACGCUACCACAGGAACAGAGGCCCCAGGGCCCCCAGACAGGCAGUGCCUAUAGGCUCAUUGUGAGGUCAGAAGCUCUUGAGGUCACAAUUGGUGACAUCACAGCUGCUGACCCAAGAGGCUCAGACUCCAACCUGAAGCUUCACUGGGCCAGGGAAUGGCUGCAAAGUCAAGAGCACAUGGGCCAGGGCUGGCCAGCUUCUCAGCUCCAGGCACCCAGAUGGAAGCAUCCACAUCUGCAUUCUUCAUGGCAGAGACCUCUCCCCGUUCAGGUUCUGGAAACAGAAGAGAUGUCUGAAAUAGGUAAAGACUCACUGAGGCUGCAGAAAAGCUGUUUCUGUGGAGGAGUGAACGCCAGGUUGCAGGGGGUUGAGAAGACAGUGAAGGAGCUGAACGGGAAGUGGUGUGGCCGUUCUCCUAUGCCACAGUCUGCUGUGGCCUAUGACUUUUCACUUACUAGUGCUAACAGGGUUUUUUGUAGAUUAUUUAGGGUUUUCUACAUGCCAUCUGUGAACAGAGGUAAUUUUACUUCUUCCUUUCCAUUUCAAAUGCUUUGUAUUUCCUUUUCUUGCCUAAUUGCUCUGGCUAGAACUUUCAGUACUAUGCCAAAUAGAAGUGGGGAAGGUGGGCACCCUUGUCUUGUUCUUGAUCUUAGAAAGUUUCCAGUUUUUCACUAUAAAGUAUGGUGCUGGCUGUGGGAUUUUUUUGAUAUAUUGCCUUUAUCAUGUUAA